rnacentral:rRNA from 1 species
CCUACGGGUGGCAGCAGUGGGGAAUAUUGGUCAAUGGAGGAAACUCUGACCCAGCAAUGCCGCGUGAAUGAAGAAGGUCUUCGGAUUGUAAAGUUCUUUAGUCAGGGAAGAAGUCAAUGACGGUACCUGCAGAAUAAGCUCCGGCUAACUACGUGCCAGCAGCCGCGGUAAUACGUAGGGAGCCAGAGUUGUUCGGAAUGACUGGGCGUAAAGGGUGCGUAGGCGGUUGUACAAGUUAGAGGGGAAAUACCCAGGGCUUAACACGUGUGCUGCUUCUAAAACUGUAUGACUUGAGUGCAGUAGAGGUAAGUGGAAUUCGUAGUGUAGCGGUGAAAUGCGUAGAUAUUAGGAAGAACACCAGAGGCGAAGGCAGCUAACUGGACUGCAACUGACGCUGAAGCACGAAAGUGUGGGGAGCAAACAGGAUUAGAUACCCCAGUAGUC